UCACAAAAAAUAAACAAGUGUGUUUGCUCAAUUUAUUUUCAAAUAUGUACAAAUAACAUAAAAAUUAAUGCGCACGAUUAUUUGCAACGUCACAAUGACGCUGAUUAUGACUGAAAAGUUAUAGGUAAAAGUAUAGUUGUCUCUGCAACUGAUACAAAAAUAUAUAUUCUCUGUACAAAAUGUCAACUUGUAAAAAUGAAAAUUUAAAUUUAUUAGUUCCUAAAUUAGAUGAGUAAAAUUUUUUGUUAGAAUUGACACAAAACGAUGCUUUGCGAAGUAUCAUCCGCGUACGAUUUGCUCUCUUUGAGUAUGGUAUUCCAGCGGUGUUGAUUUUCGUAUGAUAGAAAAAUAUUGCUAAAAUAUUUGCUGGUUUUCAACAGCAUAAUAUGCGAAUCUGGUGAGGCAAAUAUUUGAUCAGGAAAGAUAUAAAGCCCAAGUUUGAAGUAUGAUUAGACCAUAAUCCUAUGUUAUUAGAAAAACGGUAUUCAAUAAAUACAGUAACUGUCACAUAUGAAAGGUGAAUUUCGUUUAAAAUGAUAACUAGGUUUCAGAAUCUAAUUAUGAUAAUUUGAUAUUUGUUAAACAGUUUUACGUCACGCUGACGUCAUUAAAUUGGCAACACGGGAGGGAAACUAAUUUCUCUUUACAUUGCAUAAAAAUUAUUCUUUCAAUUCAAAAAUUAGUCGUCAUUAAAAUUGACGUCAUCAAAAAUGACGUCAC